GACGCGGUGGCCUAAUGGUUAGCGCGCUGGACUCCGGACCGAGCGAUCCGGGUUCGAGCCGUGGCCGGGGUCCUGUGUUG